GCGACCGCCACAUAAAUGAUGUUAAAAAUACAUCAUCAUCUGUUCUUUAAUUAGAAUGGAUUAUACCUGGCCAGGUUAGAAUAAAUUGUUCAUUUCUGCCUUGUUUAUUAGCCUAUCUCCCGUUUGGCUUAGUGGUCCAGGCUUGGGGGGGAUUCAUCGGGGUUCAUUUUAUUUCUUUUUUCUAUGUGAAGGCUCUUAUAUUCUGCCAGUUACGGUAAUUGUUUUAAUUCAAGCCACCUGGUUUCAUUGAUAAAGAGCGUAUUGUGGGAAAUGAGAGGAUGGCCUGAAAGGAGAGCUGAGUGUCGUUUGCAGUUUUGUUGCGGUUUCUUUUUUGCUUUUUAAAUUAUUUAAGCUUAUCUAGAAACGAUGUAACAUUUUUUAUGGAGUGUCACUGAGCUAAUUGUCCCGAAUACAGCUUUGGAAUACCGUUCGUUUUAUAUGGAUUAUUUGAAACUGAAGAAAACAGAUUGAUUUACGUCCCAGGAACAACGCGCAGCCGGUCCUCGGACACACGGCAGGAAGGGGUGAGACGGUCUGUUAAAACUUUCUUUUUUGUGCUGGACAAUGCUGGAUUACAAUUUUUUUUUUUUUUCUUCAUAGUACUAUGGGCGUUUAUUUUGAUACUUUAUUUUUCUCUGGAAUAUGUUUUUUGCAAGUUUGUUUUGUUUUGAAGCACGUUUGACUUUGUUUUUUGGAUUGACUUUGUUUGGUUUGUUUUUUUUCUGCAAUAAGGAACUUUAUAACCGCAUUAAUUUACAUGGACUGGUUAAUUUUUGUUAAUACUACUUCAUUGUGUUUCAAGCUGUUUUUGCGAAUCGUUUUUACCAGUAAUACCCAGGGUUAACAGGGUCAUUUUGACUGUUUACUGUAUUACUUGCUGUUUCACUGCCAAAAUAUUUAUAUCAGUGUAUACACUAUGCAUUCUAUUGUGCUAUGAGGUUUCUUAGAGCAAUGUUUAAGGUAUAUUUUGCUUCCUUUGUAUCGACAUUGUACUGUUCUACAGUUUUUUGCCACUAUAAAAAGGUUACUGAAGAUUAUGACACUCUUA